rnacentral:rRNA from 1 species
GCGAACACGUGAGUGCAAGCGAAUCCCAAAAAUAACGUCUCAGUUCGGAUUGUAGUCUGCAACUCGACUACAUGAAGCUGGAAUCGCUAGUAAUCGCGGAUCAGAAUGCCGCGGUGAAUACGUUCCCGGGUCUUGUACACACCGCCCGUCACACCAUGGGAGUCAGUAACGCCCGAAGCCGGUGACCUAACCGAAAGGGAGGAGCCGUCGAAGGUGGGACCGAUAACUGGGGUGAAGUCGUAACAAGGUACC